rnacentral:lncRNA from 1 species
GUGGCCGCGGCGGAGUACCCGCCCAUGUUGUUCACCAUCGUGAACAACUGCCCCUUCCCCGUUUGGCCCGCCAUCCUGCCCAACACCGGCCACGAGGUCCUCGAGGGCGGCGGCUUCGAGCUCGGCCCCCUCACGCACCGCUCCUUCCCCGCGCCGACCACCCACUGGGCCGGCCGCGUCUGGGGCCGCACCGGCUGCUACCACGGACGCGGCGGCCGCUUCACCUGCGCCACCGGCGACUGCGGCGGCCGCCUGCAGUGCGCUGGCCUCGGCGGCGCUGUCCCUGCCACCCUCGCCCAGCUCUCGCUCCACCACGCCGGGCACCUCGACAAGACCGCCUACAGCGUCAGCCUCGUCGACGGCUUCAAC